rnacentral:rRNA from 1 species
GCGUAAAGAGUCCGUAGGUGGGUAACCAAGUCAGCUGUUAAAUAGUGAAGCUUAACUUCAUAGAGGCGGCUGAAACUGGUUGUCUAGAGUGUGGUAGGGGUAGAGGGAAUUUCCAGUGUAGCGGUGAAAUGCGUAGAUAUUGGAAAGAACACCGGUGGCGAAAGCGCUCUACUGGGCCUGCACUGACACUGAGGGACGAAAGCUAGGGGAGCGAAAGGGAUUAGAUACCCCUGUAGUCCUAGCCGUAAACGAUGGAUACUAGGCGUUG